CACAAAACUUCAUCAGACCCCUCUCUCUCUCUCUCGGCUGCUCAAGGACAUCAUGCCAGAUCUCUUUCUCAUGUGUAUUGAACGGCUCCAUCUCCUCUCUAACACCACCGAUUUAAUCUCCGAUUUGAAGAUUAAAUCAGGGAGAUUUGACUUCGAAUAAGUUCGUUCUUCCGAUUCAACAACCAUCAGUGAAUCAAGUCUGCAAAGAUCGGUGGCUACGGAGAAGAGUUCCCGGCUGGUCCUAGGGUUACCCGCUACAGGUUCUGGUUCGCAACAACCAGCAAUGCAACAACGUCCGGUUCAGACGCCGCCGGCGCAGCAACAGUCGGCUGACUCACCGUUGGCGCCGUCAUCGUCGAAGAAGAUAAGUGUUGAACUUACAUUUUUAUAAUUUUAUUUGCUGUGUUCUGUUUAUAAUGCUUAAUUUUAUUUUUGUAAUGUUAUUUCAGUUUUGGAAAUUACAUUUUUGUUAUUUUAUUUGUCGUGUUCCGUUUAUAAUGCUUAAUUGCUUGUGAGGUGAUAAUGCAUUGAUAAUGAUACUCUGUGCUAAUGUUAUUUCAAGUUUGGUUUUAGGUAUCAAUUUCUUCUGAGGUUACAUCAAAGACCAAAUACAGAGAAAUCAUGAAAUUUCUCAGCUUUCUGUAUCGGGCUUCACACCUCGGAAAUUUGCUGUUAGCUUAUGAUGGAAAGAAGAGUGCGUUUGUUGCGGGUCCAUUGCCCUUUGAGUCUAAAGAGUUUGCCGUUAAAAUCCUUGAGCAUGAUGGGCGGAAACAUGACUUCAGUGUUACAAUCAAGUUUGCUGGCAAAAAAGAUCUUCACUACCUGAAGCAGUUCGUGAGUAGCAGAGAGCAUGAUGGUUUACUACAGGGUAUUGUUGGAUUUGCUAUUGGUCUUGCAGCUAUGGGGAAUCGCGCUAUAGUGGAAAUUCAGUUUGCAAAUUACAUUUUUCCUGCUUUUGAUCAGAUAUGUGUUGGGUUCUGGUGACCGAUGAGUUGAGCGACAGAUCUGGAGAAUGCUGAACACCAAAAUAGCUAAGUUUGAGUCAGAUUUGUGCAAAGGUUUGAUCGGGAGAGGACAUGCCCGUUAUGUCGAGCACUUGUUAGGGUUUGGUGAAAAAUGGAUAAAGAAUGGGUCAUUGUCAAACCCAUUUUGGACAAAGAUUUAUGGAACCCAUCAUCAAAGUUGAAUGAAGCAGAGAAGAAAGAUUUGAAGGCGAAGUUUAACGAGGAAGCAAAACACUGGACUGAUGCUAUCCCCACUGGCAAUGGCCGCCUUGGUGGGAUGGUUUGGGGUGAUUUCAUGUGAAAUUGCUGUUGCAGAGGAUACAUUGUGGACAGGGGUUCCUGGGAACUAUACGAAUCCUGAUGCUCCAAAUGCGUUAUAUGUGGUCAGGAAGCUUGUAGAUGAUGGAAAGUAUGCUGAUGCUACUAAAGAAGCUGUUAAAUUGUCAGCAGAUCCGUCUGAUGUAUGCUUCUUCACUAUAACUACUUAAUAUAUGACUGACCGCCUGACUAUAUGAGUUAGUUAGUGGUGCUUUGAAAGUGAUUAUAUGAUGUUAAAUAAUUAAAAUCAGAUAAUUAGGGUGUUUUUGCUGUCUGAAUUUGCGAUAAUCAGAUGUCCGAGUGUUUAGCAAAAUCUAAUGUUUUCUCAAAUGUAGAUAGAUGAUCACAAGCAAAAUUCGUUUUAGAAGUCAGCUUGUGGCAGGCUGAAUUGUUCUACCUUAACACGACCCGUAUGUAUAUUUGUUUUUGUCAAAAACAUCAACCCUAACCCAAACACACUUAAAAUCGUGUAACCGAAUUAUUUAAAUGUGAAAUGGGUUGGCGGGUAGUAAUCAAGUUGCAAAUGUGCUAAUCGGGUUGGUGGGUUGUGAUGGUUAAAUGGGGUUGAUGGGUCGUCCUUAUUAUUCAAAUAGAGGGAUAGCUUCGGUACGCUUUUUCCACAUGUACAACUUUUUAAAGCAUAUGUACCACCACUUAAAGCAUAUGGUCUAUGAAGAAAGGUCUUUGUAAGCGUGCUUAUAUUGGCAAGAAAGUGGAGACAAGCUUCGGCAGCCGGGAUGAUGCUGGACAAUGCCAGUGGUGAUGUUGGACGAUAUUUGUAAAGCUCAUGACGUAGAUAGACCAAACCCGUGACCGGCCAAAAUGAUUCUGUUAGGUGAUUUGAAUGAUGUCGUAGGUUCCAAGUUCCAAACUGUGAACCAAACUGUUAAAAGAUAAAUUAUGAACGCAUCGCUGCAUGUUCUAAAUAGAAAAAAAGUUGAAAAACAAUGGUCAUCGGCUCCAAGUUCCAAACUGUUAAACUCGGUUUUCCAAAACCAUGCACUGAACCAUAUAAAUCUCUAACUAGUUUUUGUGAAAUUUGCAGCUUUGAUGGUCGAAAAUGGUAAAUUUCUUUAUUCUGCGAAACGAAAGUGGAGAAGUACAUGUACAGAGUAUAUCAUUUCAAUGGCUGCAAAUAACAUAUAAAGAUCAAACAGCAGUUACUUUGGUAAAGUCGGAUCCAAUUUUCUCGGUACACAACGAUUUUGAACGGUUAAUCGUUUAGUUCUUGCAGUUUAGUUUUGUGGAUAAUGAUUCUGUUUUUUGUAUGAUAUUUGAUCUGAUGAUUACAUAACAAUUUGUGGUUUUAUAUUAUGAUUUUUAAACAGAGAUUCGUUAAGAAUUUUCACUCCUAUUUG